rnacentral:lncRNA from 1 species
UUUAUUUUAUGAAAUGUGAAGCAUAUAUAAAUAUUGUCUCCGAAUUACACAUCUAUUUUCGACGAUUUUUCUCCUUCAUUUGUUGAAUACUUGAGAUUGGCUAGACAGGGAGUAUUUAAUGGACUUAAUGCAUUAUAUGGCGCGCGAAAUAUUGGCUUCGUAUUACAUUUAAGGAUGAUUUUAAGUGAUUUUUCCCGAGCGUUGCUGACUUGCUGUUCGCAGUGUGAUGCAUUUAUAUAAACUGACUUGAAGCAAUUUGAUUCCUACGACGUUUGGGGAUAACCCGUUUCAAACUAUGGAUUUUUAACUUGGAAUUUUCAAGAUAUGUUGACGGAAAGUUUCCAUUUGAUAUAGGUGAAUAUAGUUGAUAAAACAGCGCUAAUUUUAGUGAUAAAUAUGUUUUAUUUUGUAAUGAAAUGUACACAUUUUGGCACGUGGAUACUGUGAAAUUUACUAUAAUCUUUUUUGGGGGAUUUAAAUAUUUAGCGAAUCUAGUUUUUAAGCCAUAGUUAAACAGUUUUGCCAUACAGCUUGUUUAAAAUUUACGAAGUAUGGUUUUGACUGCUUGUGUGGGUUAAUAAAGUCGGAUAUAUUUCAACAAUAAAACCGAUUAGUAAAUAUUUACAGCUGAUUACUAAUUGUGACAUAUUCGCUGUCAAUCGCGUCUAUAUAUAAUAUUUAAAAACUUAUGUUUUUCAGUAUGUUAUUAUUAAAUGCGGUUGUUGUUUGUACAUUGUAUUAUUAUGAAGUACGAUUUGUUAAUUAAAGUUAUUUUUUAUAACACCCAACAUUUUCCCUUGAUGAUCGAAUAACAGAAUCAUCCGACAUCAAGUAUCAGACAAAAUACAUAAAGUAGGGUGGAUAUAUCUAGGCAGAUUACACACAACUUUUGCCUAAAACUGUCACAUGCAAUCAAGGUGGGUAGUAGCGAAGUAGUUGUAGUUCGCUACUGUAGCGAACUACAAUUUUCAAGUAGCCAAGUAGUUUUUGACUAUACUUUUUUAAAACUGUAGCUGUUAGUUAUAGCGAACUACAUUUUGCCUAAAAGUAGCCAAGUAGUUGACUACUUUUCAAACAGCGAAUCGCUACUUCUCUACCUUUUAAAAUUGUUAGCAACUUGAUAGAAUAGCAUGAUAUAUUUGAGACACGGUUUGCUUAAAAUCAAUCCUCAGUAGUCAAUUUGCACUCCUGAACACUGUAGUGCUUACGAAAAUGUUGCUUUGUGUUUACUGUUGCUACUCGUAAGUUGAUUUGUUAUAGGUUACAUUACAGCCUGAGUUAGUAGGUGCUCCAAAUACAGUAAAACUAAAAAAUAUAGUGUAGCGAGAUACUUGAACAAUUUCAGACUUACGAUGUUACUGUUUGCAUUCAAAUGUUACCACGCACCACAAUAAAAAAUUGGUCCUAAGUUUUGUAACCAACAUUGCCCUUGGACAAAUUUACAUUUCACAUGUCAAGUGAUGACUUUGCAUUUUACAAAGGUCAGGUCAUCUUCUGUGUUGAGUAAUGAUAAUCACAUACUGAAAGUAAAGUAACAAUGACUAAUAUUUUGCCUAUCGUUUGACAACUGAUCACACUGAGGUAAAUUGGAAUAUUAAUUUAUAUGUUUUCACACAUGUGUCUUUCAAUUCUCACAGUAAAUUACAGCUUCGCGUUCAUCAGAAGUAUUCGAUGCUUAGAAAUAUAUUUUUUAUCCUUGUUCUGUUGUGCGACUAAUUUUACAUUUUUUAAUAGGGUCAUGACAUCUUGUAAUUAUUUCGAGUAUUUACUAUUUCACUCAUAUUAAACCAAAAAAUUGCAUUUUGUGCCUCAGCAAGUAGGAUAUAACACAAAUAUGUGUAUUCUGAUGGCAUAUGUAUCCAGUGAUUGCUCGGUUCUUGGGUAUGGUAUUAAAGUGUAAAAUUUCCAUAUAUAUCAUUCUUGCAAAACUUGGAAACAACUUUUCAUUGUGUCGUGGGGUAUUAUGCUUGAAUGCAAAUGGUAAUAAUAGUUCACACUAUGUAAUUAAACCAUAUAACAAUGAAGGGACACAACGAUCUGCUCGUAUCAAAGAGGUUCCCAUAUUAUAGAGAGUUAUCCGUAUUUAUAACCCAUUGAGUUGCAUUGAACCCGGCAAUGCUUUGUCAUUUUACUCUGUCUAACACCAGACGAUUUUACUUGUCAAGGGAAAGCACUGGCAAUCAUGGGUUAAUAAUUGUUUUCAUUUAGAACCAGUCGCACAUAUGACAAUGUUUUUUUUUAUAUUAAUUUAGAACUGCAACAAUCUGGAACUGUUUGGAACCAUUUUGGGGAGAAGAAUAUUCAUUCAGUCUUUCAUCCCAUCAUCUUCAAACCCUUUCUGUUUAUGUGUAUGAUGAAGAUGCUCAUUCGUAAGUAUUAAGAGGAGAUUUUUUUGUAUGUUACGUAACACGCGCUCAAAACUAAUGCGUAUAAUAUGUCACUUGAGGUGAUGACUAAAUUCAAAAUUUUUAUUUUUCGAUACAUUUCUCAAUCGGCAAACAAACUUAAAAAGAAUAUUUAGUGCUUUAUCUGUAAAAUAAUGCUAAAACGAAGAGAUUUUAG